GUGCCCUCCUGUGUGUACUGACCAAUCACAGUUUCCAGGAGGAAGAGUGGCAUGCCACACAGUACAGCAAAGAAAAGAUGUAAGAAAAGCACCCGCAGGCAAACAGAGGGUUAUGCUCAUCUGUACAUACUCACCUCCACCAUUCUUGUAGCAAAGGCCCACCAACAACACCAUCUUUAGGACCAUGAUCCUCAGCAGCAGCAGCAGGAGUGGCAGCAACAAAGACUCCACAGCUAGUUUGCAGGGCCUUUCGGACAGCUGGGUUACAGGAACCCACAGUGCAACUGCUGAUGCCACUGUAGAGGUCCAAAAAAUACCUCAGUCAUAGCUUUGGUCCAAGGACACAUGGCUCAUCAAGGAACACAAACUUUGCUUUGAGAGUCUAACUGGUCUGACAUAAUAUAUUGACAGAUGAUGUGGCAUGCUUCAGAUCAUUACCUGUUUCUCUUCCAUCAUUCUGAUACAAGUUCAUCUUGGUUUCAUCUGUCCCAAAAAAAAUGUCUUCCAAAAUUGUGCAGGCCCCUUUAGAUGUUUCUGGCAAAGUAAUCUGGCCUUCCUGUACUUGAGCGUAACCGGUGUUUGUACCUUGUUGUAAACUGUACUUUCACUCAUGAAACCAUCUCUUAAUUGUAAAUUUUGACAAAACAUUUGCCUUGUAUAGAGUGUUCUUGAUUGUUAACUAACGAUAAAACUCACAUGUGAAAUACUUAUCUGUAAUAGCACAAUAUGCAAUGAAAUAGUUCCCAUUUAUGGAAAGAAACCUUAAAAUAAGUUUCUAAAAACAGUGAAAUAAAAUUGUGAGAAAG